AACGAACGCUGGCGGCAGGCUUAACACAUGCAAGUCGAGCGCCCCGCAAGGGGAGCGGCAGACGGGUGAGUAACGCGUGGGAAUCUACCCAUCUCUACGGAAUAACGCAUGGAAACGUGUGCUAAUACCGUAUACGUCCUUCGGGAGAAAGAUUUAUCGGAGAUGGAUGAGCCCGCGUUGGAUUAGCUAGUUGGUGGGGUAAAGGCCUACCAAGGCGACGAUCCAUAGCUGGUCUGAGAGGAUGAUCAGCCACACUGGGACUGAGACACGGCCAAGACUCAUACGGGAGGCAGCAGUGGGGAAUAUUGGACAAUGGGCGCAAGCCUGAUCCAGCCAUGCCGCGUGAGUGAUGAAGGCCCUAGGGUUGUAAAGCUCUUUCACCGGUGAAGAUAAUGACGGUAACCGGAGAAGAAGCCCCGGCUAACUUCGUGCCAGCCGCCGCAGUAACAC
rnacentral:rRNA from 1 species